rnacentral:lncRNA from 1 species
UGAUGUUCAAGCAUUUUCCUCCCAUGAGGAGAAUAUAUUUUAUAGAUAAUUUCGCAAAAUUUAUACAAAUAGAGUACAUUUUCAGAAGAAACUAGUGUAACCAAACUCACAAAGUUACAGUAUAUACCACGCACAUAUAUAUUCUCCGGGCUGUCUCAAUUUUCAGAAUGGUACAAUGGGAGAGCACCUGCUGCAGGGUGAAUUCUGUAAAAACCCUGGAAGAAGCCGCAGACACGGGAACCGGAACUGGAACCAGAGCCAGAACUGAAAGAGGGUGAAGAAAUCUCAUAAACUUCCUUCUUAGCCUCUUCGUUUCCCAAGCUUUUCAGCAUUUUCUUCUCCUUGUUCAACUUUUUCCGUAUGUACACUUCAGCAAUACCAAUACUAGCACUUGACAUGAUUGGAAUUUGGAACUAAGUACAAAUGAUGAGCUUUAGAUGAAUAAUUUAGUGGGAUUUGUCUCUUGUAUAAAUAGAUAUAAGAGCGGGCAGUGAGGGCAAGGGGCCAGGUUAAUUUAACAGUAUUUAAAAGGAAGUGGGGGUGAUAUUGAGAUGUAACGUUGGACCAUAAAUGAAAUAUGUGUAAAUGAUUUAGGGCAUUGGGGACUAAAG